rnacentral:misc_RNA from 1 species
UCCCUGUUACCAGGGCAGUCUGAAUAGAAAAAUCCAACUAUUCAUAAGGGUUGCGCUCGUUGAAGGACUUAACCUAACAUCUCACGACACGAGCUGACGACGGCCAUGCAUCACCUGUCACCGCGUUCCAAAAGGCACAAACAUCUUUCGAUGUUCUUCGCGGGAUGUCAAGCCUUGGUAAGGUUCUCGGCUUAGCGUCCAAUUAAACAACACGCUCCACCGCUUGUGCGGGUCCCCGUCAAUUCCUUUGAGUUUUAGUCUUGCGACCGUACUCCCCAGGCGGGAUGCUUAACGCGUUAGCUUCGCUUCUGAGAGGGUCGAUACUCCCAAAUAGCUAGCAUCCAUCGUUUACAGCGUGGACUAC